CCCUGCCGCUCAGCAAGAGCAAAUCUAGACACACGUGAACUUGCCUAACGCCUCCUGUAUCGAAAACCUGCUCUUUAAGGUUAUCUGAAGCCUUCACUGGGAAGAUGCAAACAGGCGGGGACUAGAAUCAUCUAGAGCUUUUCUCAUUCACAUAUCUGGCAUCUGGGCCGAGUUGACUCAGAGGCUGACCUCAACUGGGAUUGUCAGCCAAGUGCCAACAGUUAGCUUCUCCAUGUGUCUGGGGCAUCGCAGCUUCAAGGUAGACAAGCUUCUCAAAUGGUGGUUCCAGCUCCCAAAGUAGAUGUUCCCAGCAAACAAAGUAGAAUCUUCAUGGCCUUUUGUGACCUAGCCUGUGAAGUCACACAGCAUGACUUCUGUUCUACUCUACUGAUUGAAGCAGUCAGAAGUCCAUCCAGACUUGAAGGAAAGGGACACAGAGUCUCCCACCUAUGUCAAAGAAUGUUCAGCUAUGUUUUAAAAAUUCCAUGAACAGUUUUAUUGUGAUGUGGGUUACUGAAGACUAUUAAA